GGCGAAUAUAUAUAACCGAAUUACGUCUAGCGAAACUUAAAGAAGAAAAAAAUAACAAGGGCAAAAUCAGCCAUAUAUAUAUAUAUUCCAGUCCUUCAUAAAUGUACUACUAGUUACUCGAAUAUUCGAAUCAUCAAGGCUCUCUCUCUCUCUCUCCUAGU
rnacentral:ribozyme from 1 species